CCUACGGGUGGCAGCAGUAGGGAAUAUUGCUCAAUGGGGGAAACCCUGAAGCAGCAACGCCGCGUGGAGGAUGAAGGUUUUCGGAUUGUAAACCUCUUUCGUUAGAGAAGAUAAUGACGGUACCUAACGAAUAAGCACCGGCUAACUACGUGCCAGCAGCCGCGGUAAUACGGAGGGUGCAAGCGUUACCCGGAAUUACUGGGCGUAAAGAGCGCGUAGGCGGGUUAGUAAGUCAGAUGUGAAAUCCUAUGGCUUAACCCUAGUACUGCAUUUGAAACUGUUAAUCUAGAGUAUGGGAGGGGUAGGUGGAAUUCUUGGUGUAGGGGUAAAAUCCGUAGAGAUCAAGAGGAAUACUCAUUGCGAAGGCGACCUGCUGGAACGUAACUGACGCUGAUGCGCGAAAGCGUGGGGAGCAAACAGGAUUAGAUACCCUAGUAGUC
rnacentral:rRNA from 1 species